CCGUGAACCCAGCUUCCAUGUCA
rnacentral:misc_RNA from 1 species